UAGAAAUUACUGAGUCAGCUAUUCACAUAUUUUUAACCCUGCUGUAUUUGAAAGAAACAUGAGAGAUUCCAGGAUUUGAACAGGCGUCUCAUGCAGAAAAACAGCAGCUGGAGGCAGGAAACUACCUGUUCAUCAAAUCAGUACAACAAUGUGUCUUUUCCAAGAUCUUCACCUGAAAUUACACGUAGCGCUGUCUCCAUCUCUUCAAGAAGCAGUUGUCACUGAUGUCUUUAUCUUAAAAAUAGCAACGAAUUUACAAAUAGAUUCUGUAAUUUAGAAUUGAAUUCUUUUUUAUCUUUUUUUUAAAGUAAUUCCCCUGUCGUUGGACUGACUCCCUGAAAGUCCUGGUCAGGCCUGCUUACACAAUACUUGUGGGUGAAUCAACCUUACCAUCUUUCUUCAAACUGACCAACCCUAAAUUAGUGGAGAAAAACUCUUCCAGGAUAAAUAAACAACAACAACAACAACAAAAAAGGCCUUAAAAGGUGACUGGAAUUUUUGGCUCCCCAAGGCCCGCUCUGCUCUGGAGAAGGAGGGUCCUUUUCUCUGUGUGUCUGUUUCAAACCCAUAGU
rnacentral:lncRNA from 1 species